AGAGAGAGAGAGAGAGGAGGAGUCACUGAGUGAGCUGCGACAACCCAACCACCAGCGCCCAAUAAUGCCGUCCUCCUCCUCUGGGUUCCUCUUCUAAUCUGCGCAGCAGAGGUGGAAGAGCUCAGGAAGAGGAAGCCAGAGGAGGAAGAAGAAGAAGAAGAAGAAGAAGAAGAAGAUGUUCGGGCGCGAUCCGUGGGGAGGGCCGCUGGAGAUCUCCCACGCGGACUCCGCCACCGACGAUGACCGGAGCAGGAACCUGCAUGACCUCGACCGGGCGGCGCUGUCGCGGCAGCUGGACGAGACCCAGCAGAGCUGGCUCCUGGCCAGGCCCGGGGAACCGGGGAAGAAGAAGAAGAAGUACGUCGACCUCGGUUGCAUGGUGGUCAGCCGCAAGCACUUCCUCUGGACCGUCGGCGGCUUCCUCGCCGCCGCCCUCCUCGUCGGCCUCAUCGUCCUCAUCGUCAAGACUCUGCCCCACCACCACCCCCGCCCCCCGCCGCCGGACAAGUACACGCAG
rnacentral:lncRNA from 1 species